rnacentral:rRNA from 1 species
GAUGAACGCUAGCUACAGGCUUAACACAUGCAAGUCGAGGGGAAACGACAUCGAAAGCUUGCUUUUGAUGGGCGUCGACCGGCGCACGGGUGAGUAACGCGUAUCCAACCUGCCCACCACUUGGGGAUAACCUUGCGAAAGUAAGACUAAUACCCAAUGAUAUCUCUAGAAGACAUCUGAAAGAGAUUAAAGAUUUAUCGGUGAUGGAUGGGGAUGCGUCUGAUUAGCUUGUUGGCGGGGUAACGGCCCACCAAGGCAACGAUCAGUAGGGGUUCUGAGAGGAAGGUCCCCCAAAUUGGAACUGAGACACGGUCCAAACUCCUACGGGAGGCAGCAGCGAGGAAUAUUGGUCGAUGGACGAGAGCCUGAACCAGCCAAGUAGCGUGCAGGAAGACGGUCCUAUGGGUUGUAAACUGCUUUUAUAAGGGAAUAAAGUGAGUCUCGUGAGACUUUUUGCAUGUACCUUAUGAAUAAGGACCGGCUAAUUCCGUG